rnacentral:tRNA from 1 species
GCCGGCUUAGCUCAGCAGGUAGAGCAACUGACUUGUAAUCAGUAGGUCACCAGUUCAAUUCCGGUAGCCGGCACAA